CAAACAAAUCAAAAAAUCCAAGUCAAACUAUAACCAUUCAUAUAAUGUCCUUAAUAAUAAGCCCUCGUUUGUAGUAUAAGUCGCCAUUAUCUAAGAAAAGAACCAACAAAUCCACCACCAACAAGUUCCACCUUUCCAAACCUAAAGCAAUAACCAUAAUGCCAUAUUACAAAUUCACGUCAAUAGUUCAAUAGGGAGAAGUAACUAUUAGCAGUAAGCAUAUCUUCCAGAACUUAGCUGGAGAGCUGAUUGAAACUUAUAACAAUCAGUCAAACUUUAGUUUGAGUAUUAGCCCUACUUUAGCUGCAAGCGCUAUGCAGUUUUGAAACAAAACAAAACACUCAUCGUAGCUGCAAAAUUGCAGAAUGAUUUAUCGAGAGUGCACCAUUUUAACUAUUGAAACUUCUCCCUAAGAACCCCACAAUCAAGAACCGCCAUCAAACAAGUACCACAAAACCAUAGCCCAUAUCAAACCAUCCAACCACACCACAGUCAAACCAUAAUCAGGAGAAGAAACGGAAUUAGCAGUAAGAAAUCUUCCAGAACACAGCUGGAAUGCUGAUUGAUCAUACUGACAUCAGUGAAACUUUCGUUCGAGAUUCAAGAAUUAGGCCUAAGUUCAUUGCAAACAACUUGCAAUUAAAAGAAAAUUGAACACUCGUCGUGGCUGCAAGUUAGCAGAAAGAUUUGUCGACAGUGCAUUAGUUAAGUAACUAAGACUUCUCCUGAUAUUACCGGCAACCUAAAAAUUUUGUGAAUUUGUCAUAAAAAUUCACAAAAUUUUAAUGUAAAAAGUGGAUUGUAUUACAUGCACUCAAUUCUGGGUUACAAAAACCCACACAAAAGCAGACCACUGAUUGAGGGUGGACACACCCUGGCGCUAAGAGCUCGUGUAGAGCUGUCAAACAAAAAAGCGCACGUGAAAAGUGCAGUCGGCGUGCAAGGAAAAGAAGCAUCGAAAUAAGGAGUGAGACGAAAAAGUGCCGGAGCAGGCCGUGCUGCCCGACGACAGAUUGUGCCGGAAAAAGCCUUCGUGAAGAAGGCCGUUUUACCGGAUACCAGCAGCCGGCCAAGGGCCAGACUGUGACAAAGGCAAAACAGCCUGCCUCCGAUUGCCGUGCGGUCAAUUUUCAUCUUUUAUUCGGCAGGAGGGAAAACUUGUAUCAAGAUCACUAAAGAUCCACCCGACAGUGCCGCUCUGCAGUGUGGGCUAUCAGAGAGCCAAUAUAGCCGAACAUUUCGCGCGCCUAGGAGAAAUCCCGGCGGCGCGACGUAUCGCGCAUUUAGUUUCUGCCUCCGAUUGCCGUGCGGUCAAUUUUCGUCUUUAUUCGGCAGGAGGGAAAAUUUUUAUCAAGAUCCCUAAAGAUCCACCCGACAGUGCCGCUCUGCAGUGUGGGCUACCAGAGAGCCAAUAUAGCCGAACAUUUCGCGCGCCUAGGAGAAAUCCCGGCGGCGCGACGUAUCGUGCAUUUAGUUUCGGCCUCGAACGCUGUGCGGGCAUUAUCGAGCGGAAGAAGGGUGGCGGAACAUACGCGUGCCAAGGAUCAGUCCCGGCGGCGCGGUUUAUCACUGUUUCCGGCCACGAGAGCCGAAUUGCGGCUGUAGGCGAUUUCGUCAUUGUGUUGCUGUUAGUUUUUUAAAGGGACGAGCCGAAGAAGUUGAGCUCGACCAACCCGUGCCCAGGAUCAUCCCGGCGGCGCGACUGAUCGUGUUUUCCUCGGCCAAAAGAGCCGUGCCGACAUUGGCCGAACAAACGUGCGCCCAGGAUCAUUCCCGGCGGCGCGAUUCAUCUGCGUUUCCUGCCACGAGUGCCGAAUUACCAUUGUCGGCUGUCACUGCUGUUGUGUUGCUGCAGAGUCAUUGAGAAAGGAGUCGAAGGAGUGUCGUUACCAUUUUGCGCGCCUAGGAAACAAAUUCCCGGCUGCGCGACUACCUGCAAAAUCGUUGCUCGGCGGAACGAGCUGAAGGAGGAAGUGUUUGUGUGCCGGCUCGCAGUGCCGAAGGAAAUAGGAGUAACGGCUCGCAGUGCCGCAGGAAGAGUGGUGAUCCGAGGUGGCGAUAUCACAGGUGAGCUUUAGUUAAGGGGGACUGGUGGGUGGAUGAAAUCUAUUUUCCUCGCGCACAAUUGCGCAAAUUAUUAAA